rnacentral:lncRNA from 1 species
UCGACGCUUCGUCUGAUUCUUCGGCGCAUCGUCCUUUCCUGCAGCCUAUUGCCCAAUCGACCAGUUGACUCUGCAACUCCGAUAUCCUUGGCACAAUACCCGCUCUUCUUGGCCCGAUGCCCGAGUCCACGGCCCGAAGCCUUCUGUCGAUACAUCGACCGAUCCACCGGCCCGACGUCCAAUCUUCUGACAUGUUCCUCCGGCACAACAUG